UACAGAGGGUGCGAGCGUUAAUCGGAAUUACUGGGCGUAAAGCGCGCGUAGGCGGCUUUGCAAGUCGGGUGUGAAAUCCCCAGGCUUAACCUGGGAACUGCAUUCGAGACUGCAUUGCUAGAGUAUGGGAGAGGGAAGUGGAAUUUCCGGUGUAGCGGUGAAAUUCGUAGAUAUCGGGAGGAACACCGGUGGCGAAGGCGGCGACCUGGGUAGAGACUGACGCUGAGGCGCGAAAGCGUGGGGAGCAAACAGG
rnacentral:rRNA from 1 species